rnacentral:tRNA from 1 species
UGGCUCAUUGGUUAAGCUCUUGGCUGCUAACCAAAACAUAGGUGGUUCGAACCCACC